GGGCCGGUAGUCUAGCCUGGUAUGGACGCCACGCUCACACCGUGGAGGUCGCCGGUUCAAAUCCGGCCCGGCCCA
rfam:Candidatus Bathyarchaeota archaeon B24 scaffold30, whole genome shotgun sequence.